AGAGUUUGAUCCUGGCUCAGAGCGAACGCUGGCGGCAGGCUUAACACAUGCAAGUCGAGCGGGCGUAGCAAUACGUCAGCGGCAGACGGGUGAGUAACGCGUGGGAACGUACCUUUUGGUUCGGAACAACCCAGGGAAACUUGGGCUAAUACCGGAUAAGCCUUACGGGGAAAGAUUUAUCGCCGAAAGAUCGGCCCGCGUCUGAUUAGCUAGUUGGUGAGGUAACGGCUCACCAAGGCGACGAUCAGUAGCUGGUCUGAGAGGAUGAUCAGCCACAUUGGGACUGAGACACGGCCCAAACUCCUACGGGAGGCAGCAGUGGGGAAUAUUGGACAAUGGGCGCAAGCCUGAUCCAGCCAUGCCGCGUGAGUGAUGAAGGCCCUAGGGUUGUAAAGCUCUUUUGUGCGGGAAGAUAAUGACGGUACCGCAAGAAUAAGCCCCGGCUAACUUCGUGCCAGCAGCCGCGGUAAUACGAAGGGGGCUAGCGUUGCUCGGAAUCACUGGGCGUAAAGGGUGCGUAGGCGGGUCUUUAAGUCAGGGGUGAAAUCCUGGAGCUCAACUCCAGAACUGCCUUUGAUACUGAAGAUCUUGAGUUCGGGAGAGGUGAGUGGAACUGCGAGUGUAGAGGUGAAAUUCGUAGAUAUUCGCAAGAACACCAGUGGCGAAGGCGGCUCACUGGCCCGAUACUGACGCUGAGGCACGAAAGCGUGGGGAGCAAACAGGAUUAGAUACCCUAGUAGUCC
rnacentral:rRNA from 1 species